UGAGGAAUAUUGGUCAAUGGGCGGGAGCCUGAACAAGCCAAGUCGCGUGAAGGAAGAAGGAUCUAUGGUUCGUAAACUUCUUUUGCAGGGGAAUAAAGUGCAGGACGUGUCCUGUUUUGUAUGUACCCUGAGAAUAAGGACCGGCUAACUCCGAGACAGCAGCCGCAGUAAUACGGAGGAUCCGAGCGUUAUCAGGAUUUAUUGGGUUUAAAGGGUGCGUAGGUGGUUUGAUAAGUCAGCGGUGAAAGUUUGCAGCUUAACUGUAAAAAUGCCGUUGAACCUGUCGGACUUGAGUGUAAAUGAAGUAGGCGGAAUGCGUGGUGUAGCGGUGAAAUGCAUAGAUAGCACGCAGAACUCCUAUUGCGAAUGCAGCUUACUAAGCUACAACUGACGCUCAUGCACGAAGGCGUGGGG
rnacentral:rRNA from 1 species